rnacentral:rRNA from 1 species
GGAAGGUGCAAGCGUUAAUCGGAAUUACUGGGCGUAAAGCGCGCGUAGGCGGCUAGAUAAGUCGGGUGUGAAAGCCCUGGGCUCAACCUGGGAACUGCAUUCGAUACUGUCUGGCUAGAGUGUGAUAGAGGGAGGCGGAAUUCCACAUGUAGCGGUGAAAUGCGUAGAGAUGUGGAGGAACACCAAUGGCGAAGGCAGCCUCCUGGAUCAACACUGACGCUGAGGUGCGAAAGCGUGGGGGGCAAACAGGAUUAGAUACCCUGGUAGUCCACGCUGUAAACGAUGUCAACUAGCCGUUGGGAGCAUUUUGGCUCUUGGUGGCGUAGCUAACGCGAUAAGUUGACCGCCUGGGGAGUACGGUCGCAAGAUUA